rnacentral:rRNA from 1 species
UUAACAUAGCAAAGUCGAACGGAGACGGAAUGUAAAAGACCUUUAGCGUUUUAUUAAAGACGUUAGUAGGCAAACGGUAGGAGUAACACGUAAGACGAACCUAGCCGACAGGAAUAGGGGCGAACGAAUUCCGAAAGGAAUAGCUAAUACCGAAUGAAGUGCAGGGAGGCAUCUCCCCUGCAUGAAGAUGGCCUCUAUAUAUAUGCUAUCACCUGUUGAUGGGUCUGCGUCUGAUUAGCUGGUAGGUGAGGGUAACGGCUCACCUAGGCGACGAUCAGUAGCCGGUCUGAGAGGAUGAACGGCCACAUUGGGACUGAGACACGGCCCAGACUCCUACGGGAGGCAGCAGUGGGGAAUCUUCCGCAAUGGGCGCAAGCCUGACGGAGCAACGCCGCGUGAGUGAAGAAGGUCUUCGGAUCGUAAAGCUCUGUUGAUGGGGACGAACGUGCCUAAUGCGAAUAGUUUUAGGCAAUGACGGUACCCAUCGAGGAAGCCACGGCUAACUACGUG